UACGUAGGGUGCGAGCGUUAAUCGGAAUUACUGGGCGUAAAGCGUGCGCAGGCGGUUUUGUAAGCCAGAUGUGAAAUCCCCGGGCUCAACCUGGGAAUGGCAUUUGGGACUGCAAGGCUGGAGUACGGCAGAGGAGACUGGAAUUCCUGGUGUAGCAGUGAAAUGCAUAGAUAUCAGGAGGAAUACCGAUGGCGAAGGCAGGUCUCUGGGCUGAUACUGACGCUCAUGCACGAAAGCGUGGGGAGCAAACAGG
rnacentral:rRNA from 1 species